rnacentral:rRNA from 1 species
UACGUAGGGUGCAAGCGUUAUCCGGAAUUCUUGGGCGUAAAGAGCUCGUAGGCGGUUUGUCGCGUCUGCUGUGAAAAUCCGAGGCUCAACCUCGGACUUGCAGUGGGUACGGGCAGACUAGAGUGUGGUAGGGGAGACUGGAAUUCCUGGUGUAGCGGUGGAAUGCGCAGAUAUCAGGAGGAACACCGGUGGCGAAGGCGGAUCUCUGGGCCAUUACUGACGCUGAGGAGCGAAAGCGUGGGGAGCGAACAGG